rnacentral:rRNA from 1 species
AUUGAACGCUGGCGGCAGGCCUAACACAUGCAAGUCGAACGGUAACAGGGAGAAGCUUGCUUCUUUGCUGACGCGUGGCGGACGGGGGUGUAAUGUCUGGGGAACUGCCUGAUGGCGGGGGAUAACUCCUGGAAACGGUUGCUCAUACCGCAUAACGUCGCAAGACCAAAGAGGGGGACCUUCUGGCCUCUUGCCAUCGGAUGUGCCCAGAUGGGAUUAGCUAGUAGGUGGGGUAACGGCUCACCUAGGCGACGAUCCCUAGCUGGUCUGAGAGGAUGACCAGCCACACUGGAACUGAGACACGGUCCAGACUCCUACGGGAGGCAGCAGUGGGGAAUAUUGGACAAUGGGCGCAAGCCUGAUGCAGCCAUGCCGCGUGUAUGAAGAAGGCCUUCGGGUUGUAAAGUACUUUCAGCGGGGAGGAAGGGAGUAAAGUUAAUACCUUUGCUCAUUGACGUUACCCGCAGAAGAAGCACCGGCUAACUCCGUG